AAACCUCUUUUCUCAAGGAAGAAGAUCUGACGGUACUUGAGGAAUAAGCCACGGCUAAUUCCGUGCCAGCAGCCGCGGUAAUACGGGAGUGGCAAGCGUUAUCCGGAAUUAUUGGGCGUAAAGCGUCCGCAGGCGGCCUUGCAAGUCUGCUGUCAAAGAGUGGAGCUCAACUCCAUAGAGGCAGUGGAAACUGUGAGGCUUGAGUGUGGUAGGGGCAGAGGGAAUUCCCGGUGUAGCGGUGAAAUGCGUAGAUAUCGGGAAGAACACCAGUGGCGAAGGCGCUCUGCUGGGCCAUAACUGACGCUCAUGGACGAAAGCCAGGGGAGCGAAAGGGAUUA
rnacentral:rRNA from 1 species